GGGCUUGCUUCGGCAGCACAUAUAAUAAAAUUGGAACAAUACGAAGAAGAUUAGCAUAGCUUCUGAGCAAUGAUGUCGUCCAAAGUCUUGAAGCAUUCCAUGUUUUA
ensembl:snRNA U6 U6 spliceosomal RNA